rnacentral:misc_RNA from 1 species
AAGUCGUAACAAGGUUUCCGUAGGUGAACCUGCGGAAGGAUCAUUAACGAAGAUAAAUUUCGGUGGGCAGCUGCUGGCCUUUGGGCAUUUGUGCACGCCUGUCAUCUUUAUUCUUUCUUUCCACCUGUGCACCAUUUGUAGGCUUGAACAAAGCAUUUGGCCUUCGGGUCAGCGUUGGGGACUGGUCGGUUGACCUCUCCCCUACCGUUUCAAGUCUAUGUUUUCACACCUUACACCAUUAUUAAACCUAGAAUGCAUUUACGGGCCUAAGUGUGCCUAUAGAAACACUAUACAACUUUCAGCAACGGAUCUCUUGGCUCUC